GGGUGCGUAGCUCAAUUGGAUAGAGCGUUAGAUUACGGCUCUGAAGGUUGGGGGUUCGACUCCUCCCGCGCUCACCU
rnacentral:tRNA from 1 species